GACGAACGCUGGCGGCGUGCUUAACACAUGCAAGUCGAACGGAAAGGCCCUGCUUUUGUUGGGUGCUCGAGUGGCUAACGGGUGAUUAACACGUGAGUAACCUGCCCUUGACUUUGGGAUAACUUCAGGAAACUGGGGCUAAUACCGGAUAGGAGCUCCUGCUUCAUGGUGGGGGUUGGAAAGUUUCGGCGGUUGGGGAUGGACUCGCGGCUUAUCAGCUUGUUGGUGGGGUAGUGGCUUACCAAGGCUUUGACGGGUAGCCGGCCUGAGAGGGUGACCGGCAACAUUGGGACUGAGAUACGGCCCAGACUGCUACGGGAGGCAGCAGUGGGGAAUAUUGCACAAUGGGCGGAAGCCUGAUGCAGCAACGCCGCGUGCGGGAUGACGGCCUUCGGGUUGUAAACCGCUUUCGCCUGUGACGAAGCGUGAGUGACGGUAAUGGGUAAAGAAGCACCGGCUAACUACGUG
rnacentral:rRNA from 1 species